GAGAGGCUUCACCGAGCGCGUUCCCAGAGGUUUUUGGGGUUCCCCCCACACGGAUGAACGCCUUGUGGCUCCUGUCACCUGUGUGGUUUGUGGGACCCUUGAGACAGCAGCUGAUUUCAGAGUGAAGCUUGGCUCGCUGCAAUCUUAGUGGAAAGAUGUGUCAUUCUGAAGGAGAGGUGGAAGGAAAGGCUUUCUCUGCUGUAUCAGUCUCCUGAUAGUUUGUCAGGAUGGGGGUCUUCAGCUGCAUAUUUACUUGCAGAUACUGUAGAUGAAGGCUAAUAUGAAAUCAAGCAGAUUCCUGGGGUUAUAUAACUUACAGGCCAGCACCCCUGUGAUUAUGAAUUCCUUCAUCCCUUUGACAUCCUCCAUGCCCUGUCUCUUGGAGCAGCUCAGUGGACACCUCGAAACCCCAGAGAAAUGGUUCACAAAGCUGUGUAUGAGUAUGAAAUGGAUCUCACUCAGGGAAGCAGCUGAGCAGGUGUGCACGAGGCAGAGAGAAGGAAAGAUACUCACAGACAACAGUGGAAGGGAUAUUUCCUUCUGGUUAUUCCCUGUGCCAGCAGCACAGGCUUUCCCUGAGGCAGCACCAGUUCCCCCUCCAUUUUGAUGGCUUUGUGGAUGAAGGGACAGCACAGAACUGUUCUCUGUGGCAUGCACAUGUAUUUCCCAGGUGUUCCUGAUGACAUAUCUGCACAGUGCCCCCCUGGAAGAGGUCACAGCACAAAGACAGCUGCCCUGACACCCAGGCUGCCACCUUCUCACGGAGCAUCAGAGAGCUCAGGCAGCCACUGACCCCAGGAAUGGGUCAGGACAGCUCAGCCCUGCAGUUCUGCAAAAAAAUCCCUGGAUUUUAACCCCGUGACUUGUGACAACCAGCAACACUUACAAAAAGAAAAAAAUGAAAAUAGGGAUAAAAGAAAAAAACCCACACUGUGUAAAGCAAUCUGUCAGCUGUGUUUACUGAUAUAGAUUGUUUUAGCGUGUCGUUUUCUCUUGCUCAGUAAAAUUAGCACCUUUUAUACAGCAAAUAUUUAUAUGCACAUAUUACUUGCUAGAAUUGUCUCCUGCACUUUUUAACAAAGUCCUGUCCACUUGUCCCUAGGCAACCACUAGAACAAACUAAUUAGUAAUUACAAAUUCACACAUAUGCAUCAAAACAAGAUCCAGGUUAAUUUUACGGUGCCACUGUAUUUUCUGUGCUUAAAAAUUAGCAUCUCAACUUUCCCAAAAUAAAUUAUGCUAAUCUACAGACUGGUUUUAAAAA
rnacentral:lncRNA from 1 species